rnacentral:rRNA from 1 species
AUUGAACGCUGGCGGAAUGCUUUACACAUGCAAGUCGAACGGCAGCACGGGGGCAGCCCUGGUGGCGAGUGGCGAACGGGUGAGUAAUACAUCGGAACGUGCCCGGUCGUGGGGGAUAACGUAGCGAAAGUUACGCUAAUACCGCAUACGAUCUGAGGAUGAAAGCGGGGGACCUUCGGGCCUCGCGCGAUCGGAGCGGCCGAUGUCAGAUUAGGUAGUUUGUGGGGUAAAGGCCUACCAAGCCGACGAUCUGUAGCUGGUCUGAGAGGACGACCAGCCACACUGGGACUGAGACACGGCCCAGACUCCUACGGGAGGCAGCAGUGGGGAAUUUUGGACAAUGGGCGCAAGCCUGAUCCAGCCAUUCCGCGUGCAGGACGAAGGCCUUCGGGUUGUAAACUGCUUUUGUACGGAACGAAAAGGCUCUGGCUAAUACCUGGGGCUCAUGACGGUACCGUAAGAAUAAGCACCGGCUAACUACGU